UUGUAGAAAGUGAAAUUCUGGCGGAGAUGGGAGAUGUCACACUGGAUCUGAAGAUACCUUAAGUAUUUUGGAGAGGACCAAGAUUGAUGCUAGAUGGUAGUAAAUUGCUAUCAGAGGGGACAUUUGGGAACCAAGAUCCUAACUCUAGGGCUUGAUUUUCAGUUCCUCUUUCUUAUAAAUGGGGCUCAGCACGUGGGACCUGCCUCUCCCAACAGGAUGAAUAACACACCGGCUGUAUCCCCCUUCCAAAAGCAGCCUUGGGCAGCUCCCACUUUAAAUCCAGCCCUGCCUGACUUCUGUGUCCAGUUUAAACAGCAUGACCGAAUCCUUGCCCGUGGGGAAGCCUUGUUUGAUUGUGGAGGUCCUGACUCCAAAACAAGCCCACUUUGCUCCAUUUGAGCUGUCACCAGGCAGCAGCUGAUGAUUUGUCAUUUGCCUUCUCAAAACCCUCUUCUGAUAUGGAAACAGUUCAUCACUGCCUGUAACCAGCAGGAACACCAGCAGAAGCAUCAGAUCCUACCAGCAUCUGUUUGGGACAUCAAGGCAAGUGGGCCUGGGACAGCUUUAUCUGGGACAGACCAUUACUACUGGUGUUGUACUGGAACUGCUGCUUGCCUGCUGCUGCCAUGCUGUGAGGCCAGGAAGAGCACUCCCAGACAGGCUGGCCUUCCAAGGUGUGUUCUAAAUGGAGUAAAAACUCAGGUAUUUUUGAAUACAUGUAUAUGAGUGGUUGUUUUGGACAAGAACUGCUGAUUCUGGGUGCUGGGAGCUGCAGGAGCAACCACCUCCAUCAGUGCUGCAUUUCCAGCUCAGGGCUGGAGAGACCUGGCUCAGGGCUGUGCUGUCCAACACACUCAGCCAUGUUGUUCUUCCAGCAGUUCAGACUGUGUGAAGAUAAGAGGCAGAGGGGUUAUUUGUUUGCUUAGUUUUAUUUUUAAAAACUUUAUUUUUUAAAUUCCUCACCCACACAAAUCCAUGGGAUGAACAAGCAAGGUCUUAGUCCAGCUGGUUUUGGGCACUUAGAAAUCUCCAUGGGGAUUUUUUUAUCUGGCAGGAUUGGGAUCCUCUCUUCCCAGUCACAGCUAACAUAAAAACAUUUCUACUGAUUAGUUGCACUUAUUUAUUUGUCCAAACACACAGCAGCCAAAGCCUGUAUUUGUGAGUGUACUCAAAUGUCUUCCAAAAGCCACUCCUACCACCCCUGCAAAAUAGUUGCAGGGUGACACAAGAGUGAUAAACAUCUGGCCAUGGGAAUGCUCUGGAGUGAAUGAACGGGGAGUUGUGAAUGGGGACCAGCUGAAGUGCUGGUGACUUCACUCCACAGGAGACUAAAAUAACCCAGGCUUCCAUGCCCUUGUGUCCCACGGGAGAGGCAGCGACCCAAAGCACCAAGCUCAGGAAAGUCCCUCGCUCAAGGAAGAGGCUUCAGUAGAUGCUUAAUCCAAGCUUUUCUGCUGGCAUGGCUGGAUUUGUGAUUUCAGUGUUCACACCUGUGUUGACUCACAGGGGGAAGCUGAGGUUUGUGAUCUGUGGCAGGAAUCAGCUGUCCUGUUCGUCAAAGCUUCCAGCUUGACGCCGGGGUAUUUGUUGGAAGAUGUAAGAAAUUCUACUGCUUGGGACUGAAAUAAUGGCACUUGAUUACUAAGACACUGGGAAAGCCUCAGAGAUUGAUCCCAUACCAACUGCUGGUUCACAUGCUAGUGAAAUCCUGCUGUUGAACAUCUCACCGCUGGAAUUGCGGUGUGCCCUGUCCUCAGCGAGCGAGCAAAUCCCUCCAGCAGCAUAGAUCGUUCUUCUGCACCCAUUGUUAUGGAAAUCGCCUUAGAGACUGUUGCUCCAGCAAACAUUUUUAGGAGCACAGUUGCACAACAGAACUAUUCGGAGGGAAAUCUGGUGUUCGCAGGUGACGCGUCUGGAGCCUGUCCCGAAACUCAUGUGGUUGCUGAUGCGACCGCAGAAUGGAGGUGAAACAUUUCUCUUCUGGUUUCGCAGGACCAAACGCCGGCGGCUACACCUGCCUCCCUCGCACCACCAGAAAGGAUCCCCGUAAGAUUCCUGGGCUGUUUUCAGCACAACAGGGACUUUAGAAACAGAUUUUAGCUCUUUGCAGAAGCCGCCGCUGUUCCCCUUGUGAAUUGAAGGUGCUUCGAUAAACAUUCUGAAAGGUCAGCUAUUUUCACUGUGCCUGUGGCUUGCAUAAGAACCACAACAUCCUCUGCUGCAAAGAGCAGUGUUAGGAACUUCCUACUGCCACACUGAAUCACAAUAGCUUCCCACAGCAACCAGUGGUAAAAAUAAACUGGGCAAGGGGAAGUGGACAGCUUCUGCUGUUCCGCUUUCUUGGGCACACUUGAGUCACAAAAAAAGCGAUGUAGAACAAGACAUUUAUUUUGCUGAUGCCAAUGAAAUCCAUGAAUGGUUCAGAGCACGGUCCCGCUGAAAUCACGGAGUGUUUUGCAAUGAGAUGCUCGCUGUGUUCAGAGUUAAGUAUGUGCUCAAAUGUUGUCUUAAUUCAGUAUUUUCAUCAGGGUCCAGGCUUAGAAAUUAGACUAAAAGGAGACAGGGACCCCCACACAUCCGAGUGCUGCUUUUGUACUGAAGGCAUAGGAAUACAGUCCUCUUGGGAU